UAAGUUAAAUUACUUGAAACUUCGUGAUUCAUGCUCACGCAAUGUCGUUGUACUCUCUUUG
rnacentral:tRNA from 1 species